GGGCCCGCACAAGCGGUGGAGCAUGUGGUUUAAUUCGAAGCAACGCGAAGAACCUUACCAGGUCUUGACAUACUCGUGCUAUUCCUAGAGAUAGGAAGUUCCUUCGGGACACGGGAUACAGGUGGUGCAUGGUUGUCGUCAGCUCGUGUCGUGAGAUGUUGGGUUAAGUCCCGCAACGAGCGCAACCCUUAUCCUUUGUUGCCAGCGAUUCGGUCGGGAACUCAAAGGAGACUGCCAGUGAUAAACUGGAGGAAGGUGGGG
rnacentral:rRNA from 1 species